UACGGAGGGUGCAAGCGUUAUCCGGAUUCACUGGGUUUAAAGGGUGCGUAGGAGGGCAGGUAAGUCAGUGGUGAAAUCCCCGAGCUUAACUUGGGAACUGCCGUUGACACUAUCUGUCUUGAAUACCGUGGAGGUGAGCGGAAUAUGUCAUGUAGCGGUGAAAUGCUUAGAUAUGACAUAGAACACCAAUUGCGAAGGCAGCUCGCUACACGAAUAUUGACUCUGAGGCACGAAAGCGUGGGGAUCAAACAGG
rnacentral:rRNA from 1 species